GAUGAACGUUGGCGGUGUGCCUAAUACAUGCAAGUCGAACGGAGUUAAUAGCAAUAUUGACUUAGUGGCGAACGGGUGAGUAACGCGUUGGUGAUCUGCCUUGAAGUGUGGAAUAACGCUCCGAAAGGAGCGCUAAUACCGCAUGUGCUCUCAAUUUUUAGAAAGUUGAGAGGAAAGGAUUUAUUCGCUUCGAGAGGAGCCUGCGUCCCAUCAGCUGGUUGGUAGGGUAAAGGCCUACCAAGGCAAUGACGGGUAGGGGACCUGAGGGGUGGCCCCCACAAUGGAACUGAAACACGGUCCAUACACCUACGGGUGGCAGCAGUAGGGAAUAUUAGAAAUGGACGAAAGUCUGAUCUAGCAACACCGCGUGUGCGAAGAAGGCCUUCGGUCGUAAGCACUUUUGUAGGAAUAGAAGGAAUGUACUUCCAGAAUAAGUCUCGGCUAACUACGUG
rnacentral:rRNA from 1 species